AUGCGUUUUUUCUUUAAACCUGAUAUUGGCCGAUUCAACCACAGAAAAAGAAUAUUAGCCAUAACCAUAAAAGUUGAAGUUCAAAUGUCAAUGUCAUUUAGUUUCGCACAGUGAUAAAUUCCAGUGACAUGCAAUUUUUGUAAUGGCAAAAUAUUUGUAAGAAACUGCAAACAAAUGCAAAUGUGCAGUCGAUGUGUGGAAUGCGACAACAUUAUACUCGAUAAUUUCAAUUAUUGCGAGUGUUGUGGCUUAGAAACAAUUAGGCAGUUAAGAAUAAACAAGGCUCGGGCACUAUCAAACCUUUUUCCUAAAAAGCAAAAAGCUGCUUCUGCUGCAUCACAAGAUUUAUUUGAUGACUUUCAGGUUGAUAACGAAGAGUUGACGCUAAUCGAGGAUUCAUUGAUUUGAUGAUUGAUGAUGCUUCUUCGGACAACAAGAAAAAACAGCUACUGUCAGUCAGCAGUGAUGAUGCUUCUUCGAACAACAAGGAAAAACAGCUGCUGUCAGUCAGCAGUGAUUUUAUUUCUUUAGAAGAAGAAGAGAAAGAAAACAUAUCAAAUGGCGGGCAGACCCCCGAAAAAACGUAAAUAUUCAAGCAGGUUUAGUACAGAAUAUCAGCCCCCCAGGACUAACUAUUUAUAUUUAGCACUUUCAAAUAACACCAUUCAAGUAUCAGUACAUUCAGUUGGUUCUAUGAUUUAUGAAUGUGUUCAAUGUCAAGCACUUCAUUUUUUAGGUGAAAAAAUUAAAAAUCAUUUUAAAAAUUGUUGUCAUAAUGGGAAGGUAUACAUAGAUCCAGAAAUAUUAUUAGUUUUAUACAAAGGCAAUACGUCUGAAGCUAAUCAUUUUAAGGCUAAUAUACGACUAUAUAAUUCAGCAUUUGCAAUGGCAUCCAUUAAUUCAAACUUGAACACAUUCCCUCCAGGAUUUUUCACUUAUAGGGUACAAGGGCAAAUUUAUAUAAAAACUGGAUCUUUGGUUCCGUUGCAAGGUCAUAAACCACAAUACAACCAAUUGUAUAUAAUUGAAGAUGAAGCAGCCUUAAAUGAAAGAUUAUCCGAUUCUAGAAAUAACAU